rnacentral:rRNA from 1 species
AAAUGAAUUGACGGGGGCUCGCACAAGCGGUGGAUCAUGGGGCUUAAUUCGUCACUAAGCGAGGAACCUUACCAGGGCUAGAAAUCCUACUGCACGCCUCCCGAAAGGGAGGAAGCCUUCGAGGGUGUAGGACAGGUGAUGCAUGGCCGUCGUCAGUUCGUGGCUUGAGCUGUUCCCUUAAGUGGGGAAACGAACGCAACCCUCGUUGCCUGUUACAAGUGUCAGGCGAGACUGCUCCCUCACGGGAGAGGAAGGUGAGGAUGACGCCAGGUCAGCAUGUCCCUCGAUGCCCUGGGCUGCACCCGUGAUACAAUGGGUAGUACAACGAGACGCAAUGUCGUAAGACGGAGCAAAUCUUUAUAAAACUAUCCUUAAUUCGGAUUGAAGUCUGCAACUCGACUUCAUGAAGCUGGAAUCGCUAGUAAUCGUGGAUCAGCAUCGCCACGGUGAAUACGUUCCCGAGCCUUGUACACACCGCCCGU